rnacentral:rRNA from 1 species
UAGGGAAUCUUCCACAAUGGACGCAAGUCUGAUGGAGCAACGCCGCGUGAGUGAAGAAGGUUUUCGGAUCGUAAAGCUCUGUUGUUGGUGAAGAAGGAUAGAGGCAGUAACUGGUCUUUAUUUGACGGUAAUCAACCAGAAAGUCACGGCUAACUACGUGCCAGCAGCCGCGGUAAUACGUAGGUGGCAAGCGUUGUCCGGAUUUAUUGGGCGUAAAGCGAGCGCAGGCGGAAUGAUAAGUCUGAUGUGAAAGCCCACGGCUCAACCGUGGAACUGCAUCGGAAACUGUCAUUCUUGAGUGCAGAAGAGGAGGGUGGAAUUCCAUGUGUAGCGGUGGAAUGCGUAGAUAUAUGGAGGAACACCAGUGGCGAAGGCGGCUCUCUGGUCUGCAACUGACGCUGAGGCUCGAAAGCAUGGGUAGCGAACAGG